UACGAAGGGGGCUAGCGUUGUUCGGAAUUACUGGGCGUAAAGGGCGCGCAGGCGGCCUUGUCAAGUCAGGCGUGAAAGCCCCGGGCUCAACCCGGGAGGUGCGCUUGAGACUGGCAGGCUUGAGUUCGGGAGAGGUGAGUGGAAUUCCCAGUGUAGAGGUGAAAUUCGUAGAUAUUGGGAAGAACACCGGUGGCGAAGGCGGCUCACUGGACCGACACUGACGCUGAGGCGCGAAAGCGUGGGGAGCAAACAGG
rnacentral:misc_RNA from 1 species